AUUGAACGCUAGCGGGAUGCCUUACACAUGCAAGUCGAACGGAGUGGCGAACGGGCGAGUAAUGUAUCGGAACGUGCCCAGUAGCGGGGGAUAACUACGCGAAAGCGUCGCUAAUACCGCAUACUUUUGGACCGGCCGACCUCGGAUUAGCUAGUUGGUGGGGUAACGGCCCACCAAUGCCACGAUCCGUCGCUGGUUUGAGAGGACGACCAUCCACACUGGAACUGAGACACGGCCCAGACUCCUACGGGAGGCAGCAGGGGGGAAUAUUGGACAAUGGGGGAAACCCUGAUCCAGCCAUGCCGCGUGUGCGAUGAAGGCCUUCGGGUUGUAAAGCACUUUUGGCAGGAAAGCGGUACCUGCAGAAUAAGCACCGGCUAACUACGUGCCAGCAGCCGCGGUAAUUC
rnacentral:rRNA from 1 species